GCAAACUUGGUCAUUUAGAGGAAGUAAAAGUCGUAACAAGGUUACCGUAGGUGAACCUGCGGUAGGAUCAUUAUCAAAUUAUCCAAACCAUUUUUUUAAUGGAAAAUCCAUUAAAAAAAGAAUAAUUCAUCUUUGUGUGAAUUAUUAUAGAAGAAGUUUAAAAGAAAAAAAAUAGAACAAUUUUUUUUUUGAAAUUUUGUCCUAUUUUUUUUCUCUUCUUCAAAAAAUUUAUAAACUCGUCUUACUCUUUUUGUCUGACAAAAAACUAUAAAAUUAAUAAAAAUACAACUUUCAACAACGGAUCUCUUGGUUCUCGCAUCGAUGAAGAACGCAGC
rnacentral:misc_RNA from 1 species